GGAGUCAUGAUGACUCACAAUGCAGCUGAGAACCCUGUUACCAUUUGCAAUGACAAGAACUAAACACUAGCCACUACCACCAGGGUUACUCCUGGUUCAGGGCUGAAUACAGUGAGUCCACUGGGCAAUGAUCAGCAAUUCUGACUUCAAGAUCCAAUCACCCAGUGAAAGCUACAAGAGAACUCAGUACAAGAUAAAUGGGAAUGACAGUUGCACCCACCUCAAGGUGUUAUGAGGCUAGAUGAGUUUCUGCAUGUCAAGCCCUCAGAGAAGUGCCUGGCAAGCAGACAGUGCUCAGCUGAGGAGGGCUUUCUUGGUUGUGCUGUCUUUCUGAGGCAACGUGGAGUCUACCAGUCACGGACAAAGGACUCUCUGAAGUCAGUCCCAGCACACCUGCACCAAAUAUCAGGAGGAAGGCAGAUGAAUACUUAAAGUCCAACAUGU